CGAUCAAGAGAAGUUUUUUUUUCCUCCCCAUUUUUUUCCUGACACGUGUCAGUUAAAUGUUUUCUUUUUAUGCCACCUUAUUCACUGCUUGUCUACCUCAUUCAUUUCCCAUUUGGUUAAAAGUCUCCAGUUCAAUUUCCAAGAGAACAUCACAACACUAACGAUGAUCUAGGGUUUCUGUUUUGUUGCAAACGGCCGAUGGUGACGAUGGAGUUGUUUCUCACGCCAAUGUUAGCAACGGCAGUAGGGUGUUCUCGGUGGUCAGCGGCGGCAAUAGUUUUGUUUUCGUUCAGUUGGUUAGACAGAGAAAGAGAGGGGCGAUUGAGAUGGUGAAGGUCGUCCGGCCGUUCUGCUUCGGCGAACAAUGCAAAGGACGAUGGUGCUGCUCUGAUUUUGUGGUGGUUUUUGUUUUUAGUGCUAGGCUUUUGACGACGGUGCUAAAAGAUCCGAUAAGGUGCACGAAGAGGCUAAUCUGAAUGAUCUGACAGCUAUCCUUUAUAUCAACGUUAUAAAAGACGCUGCUCUCUCCUUCGAUUAUGUCGCUGUUGCUCUGGCGAUGUCCAAUCUCUUCCAGGUUUGAUCACGUCGCUUCAUUUGUUUAUUCAGUCGUUUAGUGUUUACAGUUGCGAUCCACUGUGCAAUUGAUUCAAUCGUAUUGAGGUAUGUGCAAAUGCUUUUUGUACAUUGAAAUUGAAUACGGUUACAUGAACGAGUUCGUAUUUGGAAUAUGUCCGAUUUUGCAUUUAAUUGAAUCAAAUAGUUUUUUAGGUGUUAGAUUUGUAUUUGAUUCUUUUCUGCCUCCGUAACUUACGUAAUAUGUGUUUUUAGUAUUUGAAAUAUGUCUGAUUUUGCGUUUAAUUGAAUCAAUUACUUUUUUUGAAAGAGAGGGGUUAGUUAACUUUAGUUGUUUUAUGUAUUAGUUAGCCCAGUGGUGUUGGUGAGUUUAGAUAGAGCUUAGGAUAGGAGUGGUCAGGGGUUCAAUCCCCAUGGUGUGCAACGUUAGCCAUUCAAAAAAAAAAAAAAAAAAAAAAAAAAAAAAGUUAAACUACAAGAAAUACUUAUAAUAACAUUUUUUUACGAAAGCAAUAAAAGUCAAUAUUGAUAAAAAGUUAUUAUCAAUAUAACUGAUACGUAUUGGAAGAUUAACAUUAAAAUAAUGGUGAUUAUAUGUAUGAAUACUCAUUUUUUUUAAGAUAGUCAGUUGUUUUUUUGUCUGGUUAUUUCCAUUCUGUAACUGUUGCAGUUGGUGGGUUUGGGAAUACUGUGAAGGUGAGUGUGGAGUUGGUGGUUGAAGCUGUGAACCUCGCGUCUGCUAGCCGGCCGUUUGAGGUGGUGUACCACCCUCGCGCAAGCACGUUUAUGUUCUAUGUGAAAGCGUCGACUGUAAAGGCAGCAAUGCAGAUUCAGUGGUCUCCAAAAAUGAGGCUCAAGAUGGCUUCAGAGAUGGAGGUUUCCUCUCAAAUUAGCUGGUUCAUGUGCACGAUUUCUUUGGAUGAUGUCAAAGGUCAGUUUCAUUGGUUGAAUUCUCCUUGGAGGCUUCUUGAGGUAGCGUGGGAUGAACCCGAUUUACUACAAAACGUGAAAUGGGUCAAGCCGUGGUUAGUUGAGUUGGUGUUAUAUGUGCCAUUGAUUCAUCUUUCGUCGUCUUCGCCUCCAAGUUGGUCUCUAAUCAGCAAGAAGUAUGGUUGACUAAAGUGUAUUUGGUCUAUAAAAAAUCCCUCUCUUUUAAAAAAAGUAUGGUCUCUGUUUUUGGGGGUUAUUAACCCCCAUUCGACCCUUGGUGUUUUAGCGUGUGUUUUAGGCGACGUCGGCUGGGUUGAACAAUAUAUUUGUGUGUGGAAUGUUGGUAUUCGCUGAUUUAGGUGGUGGCUAAUUUGGACGGUGAAGCUACAUCACUAAAACUCCACCGCUUCCCGUUCCGGUAUAUUUGUUUCAUUCAGUUGAUCGCCUAAAUAUACUGUUCUAGUGAGUUUUGGGCCUGUCGCCUACCUGGCGAUGAUGAUGUGUUGCUACUUGGUAUGGCAACUCCGGUUGUAUAGGUCCCCCGGAGGUUGAGGUUAAACCUUAUCCUUGUUAUGUUUAACACACUAGCAAGUGCGGAAUCCA